UGGGGAAUAUUGCACAAUGGAGGGAACUCUGAUGCAGCGACGCCGCGUGAACGAAGAAGGCUUUCGAGUCGUAAAGCUCUGUCCUAUGGGAAGAUAAUGACGGUACCAUAGGAGGAAGCCCCGGCUAACUACGUGCCAGCAGCCGCGGUAAUACGUAGGGGGCAAGCGUUGUCCGGAAUCACUGGGCGUAAAGGGUUCGCAGGCGGAAAUGCAAGUCAGUUGUGAAAAGCAGAGGCUCAACCUCUGUAAGCAAUUGAAACUGUAUUUCUUGAGAUGUGGAGAGGCAAGUGGAAUUCCUAGUGUAGCGGUGAAAUGCGUAGAUAUUAGGAAGAAUACCGGUGGCGAAGGCGACUUGCUGGACACAAACUGACGCUGAGGAACGAAAGCGUGGGUAGCAAACAGG
rnacentral:rRNA from 1 species